GGGUCGACUCAUGUAACUCAGGGGUCGACUCAUGUUUAUCCUGGGUCGGCACUUCAAGAUAUUGAGAUGGCUCUUGCUGUGGUAACAUCAAAGGUUCGACUCUUUAAUCUUAAGGGUCGACUCAUCUUCUUCAGGAGUCGCCUCUUUAAACACAAGGGUCGACUCAUGCACUAAUUUUUCUGGCUGACGCUGAGACUGAACUGGGGUCGACUCUUCAAAC
rnacentral:lncRNA from 1 species